rnacentral:lncRNA from 1 species
GAGCAGUGGUUGGGAUCAGUGGUGCCCUGGGGAUUUGAAUCUGGAAGCGGCCGCCAGUUUCCUGGAAACAGAGCUCGGAGUCUGUGAGAAAUGCGAAUACUGCAGCUGGAGUGCUGAGAAUGGAGGGUGUGCAGAGAAUGCCGUCUGGCUGAUUGUGUCUCUGGAGGAGAAGAAGCAGUGCCUCAGAACGCUGGAAGAACAGAACCUGGUGCUGAACAAUCAGGUGUCUCAGUGUCAAUUUGCUCUUCAGCAGGCAGAGCAGCUCUCUUCAAACCUCGCUGGACAACUUCAGGAGCGUAACACCCAGAUGCAGGCCAUGCUGCUGGCAGAGAUAGAGAAGA